UACGGGGGGGGUAAGCGUUGUUCGGAAUCACUGGGCGUAAAGGGCGUGUAGGCGGUCAAGUAAGUGGAAUGUGAAAUCCCCCGGCUUACCCGGGGACCUGCAUCCCAAACUGCUUGGCUUGAGUACGGGAGAGGAUGAGGGAAUUCCUGGUGUAGCGGUGAAAUGCGUAGAUAUCAGGAAGAACACCAGUGGCGAAGGCGCUCUGCUAGGCCGUAACUGACACUGAGGGACGAAAGCUAGGGGAGCGAAUGGG
rnacentral:rRNA from 1 species